GAUGAACGCUGGCGGCGUGCCUAAUACAUGCAAGUCGAGCGAACAGACGAGGAGCUUGCUCCUCUGACGUUAGCGGCGGACGGGUGAGUAACACGUGGAUAACCUACCUAUAAGACUGGGAUAACUUCGGGAAACCGGAGCUAAUACCGGAUAAUAUAUUGAACCGCAUGGUUCAAUAGUGAAAGACGGUUUUGCUGUCACUUAUAGAUGGAUCCGCGCCGCAUUAGCUAGUUGGUAAGGUAACGGCUUACCAAGGCAACGAUGCGUAGCCGACCUGAGAGGGUGAUCGGCCACACUGGAACUGAGACACGGUCCAGACGCCUACGGGAGGCAGCAGUAGGGAAUCUUCCGCAAUAGGCGAAAGCCUGACAGAGCAACGCCGCGUGAGUGAUGAAGGUCUUCGGAUCGUAAAACUCUGUUAUUAGGGAAGAACAAAUGUGUAAGUAACUAUGCACGUCUUGACGGUACCUAAUCAGAAAGCCACGGCUAACUACGUG
rnacentral:rRNA from 1 species